rnacentral:rRNA from 1 species
GUAGUCAUAUGCUUGUCUCAAAGAUUAAGCCAUGCAUGUCUAAGUAUAAGCAAUUAUACAGCGAAACUGCGAAUGGCUCAUUAUAUAAGUUAUCGUUUAUUUGAUAGUACCUUACUACUUGGAUAACCGUGGUAAUUCUAGAGCUAAUACAUGCUAAAAAUCCCGACUUCGGAAGGGAUGUAUUUAUUAGAUUAAAAACCAAUGCCCUCCGGGGCUCACUGGUGAUUCAUGAUAACUUCUCGAAUCGCAUGGCCUUGCGCCGGCGAUGGUUCAUUCAAAUUUCUUCCCUAUCAACUUUCGAUGUUUGGGUAUUGGCCAAACAUGGUUGCAACGGGUAACGGGGAAUGGGGCGGGGGCGGCGGGCCGGGCGCGGGGCGCGGCGGGCG